AGAGUUUGAUCCUGGCUCAGGACGAACGCUGGCGGCGUGCUUAACACAUGCAAGUCGAACGGAAAGGCCUGCAGCUUGCUGCGGGUACUCGAGUGGCGAACGGGUGAGUAACACGUGGGUGAUCUGCCUUGCACUUCGGGAUAAGCUUGGGAAACUGGGUCUAAUACCGGAUAGGACAGCUGUUUAGUGUCAGUUGUGGAAAGUUUUUUCGGUGCAAGAUGAGCUCGCGGCCUAUCAGCUUGUUGGUGGGGUAAUGGCCUACCAAGGCGUCGACGGGUAGCCGGCCUGAGAGGGUGUACGGCCACAUUGGGACUGAGAUACGGCCCAGACUCCUACGGGAGGCAGCAGUGGGGAAUAUUGCACAAUGGGCGGAAGCCUGAUGCAGCGACGCCGCGUGGGGGAUGAAGGCCUUCGGGUUGUAAACUCCUUUCGACAGGGACGAAGCGUAAGUGACGGUACCUGUAUAAGAAGCACCGGCUAACUACGUGCCAGCAGCCGCGGUAAUACGUAGGGUGCGAGCGUUGUCCGGAAUUACUGGGCGUAAAGAGCUCGUAGGUGGUUUGUCGCGUCGUCUGUGAAAUUCCGGGGCUUAACUCCGGGCGUGCAGGCGAUACGGGCUGACUUGAGUGCUGUAGGGGAGACUGGAAUUCCUGGUGUAGCGGUGAAAUGCGCAGAUAUCAGGAGGAACACCGAUGGCGAAGGCAGGUCUCUGGGCAGUAACUGACGCUGAGGAGCGAAAGCAUGGGUAGCGAACAGGAUUAGAUACCCUGGUAGUCCAUGCCGUAAACGGUGGGCGCUAGGUGUAGGGGGCUUCCACGUCUUCUGUGCCGUAGCUAACGCAUUAAGCGCCCCGCCUGGGGAGUACGGCCGCAAGGCUAAAACUCAAAGGAAUUGACGGGGGCCCGCACAAGCGGCGGAGCAUGUGGAUUAAUUCGAUGCAACGCGAAGAACCU
rnacentral:rRNA from 1 species